rnacentral:rRNA from 1 species
CCUGGUGGUUACAGCAGGGGCCCCGCACCCGAUUCCAUUCCGAACUCGGCCGUGAAAACCCUUAGCGCCGAUGGUACUGCGUCUUAAGGCGUGGGAGAGUAGGUCGCUGCCAGGU